rnacentral:rRNA from 1 species
CCUACGGGAGGCAGCAGUGAGGAAUAUUGGUCAAUGGACGAGAGUCUGAACCAGCCAAGUAGCGUGAAGGAUGACUGCCCUAUGGGUUGUAAACUUCUUUUAUAUGGGAAUAAAACGUUCCACGUGUGGGAUUUUGUAUGUACCAUAUGAAUAAGGAUCGGCUAACUCCGUGCCAGCAGCCGCGGUAAUACGGAGGAUCCGAGCGUUAUCCGGAUUUAUUGGGUUUAAAGGGAGCGUAGGUGGAUUGUUAAGUCAGUUGUGAAAGUUUGCGGCUCAACCGUAAAAUUGCAGUUGAAACUGGCAGUCUUGAGUACAGUAGAGGUGGGCGGAAUGCGUGGUGUAGCGGUGAAAUGCUCAGAUAUCACGAAGAACUCCGAUUGCGAAGGCAGUUCACUGGACUGCAACUGACACUGAGGCUCGAAAGUGUGGGUAUCAAACAGGAUUAGAUACCCCAGUAGUC